rnacentral:rRNA from 1 species
AGUGAACGCUGGCGGCGUGCCUAAUACAUGCAAGUCGAACGAAGUGGCGCACGGGUGAGUAAUAUAUAGUUAAUCUGCCCUACACGGAGGAACAACAGUUGGAAACGACUGCUAAUACCCGAUAGGUUAGAAUGAGACUAUAUCGUAACAGCUAGUUGGUAAGGUAAUGGCGUACCAAGGCGAUGACCCGUAACUGGUCUGAGAGGAUGAUCAGUCACAUUGGAACUGAGACACGGUCCAAACUCCUACCGGAGGCAGCAGUAAGGAAUAGUGCGCAAUGGGUGUAACCCUGACGCAGCAACGCCGCGUGGAGGAUGACACGUUUCGGAGCGUAAACUCCUUUUAUCAGGAAAGCGGUACCUGAUGAAUAAGCACCGGCUAACUCCGUGCCAGCAGCCGCGGUAAUAC